GACGAACGCUGGCGGCGUGCUUAACACAUGCAAGUCGAACGGAAAGGCCCUGCUUUUGUGGGGUGCUCGAGUGGCGAACGGGUGAGUAACACGUGAGUAACCUGCCCUUGACUUUGGGAUAACUUCAGGAAACUGGGGCUAAUACCGGGUAGGAGCUCCUGCUGCAUGGUGGGGGUUGGAAAGUUUCGGCGGUUGGGGAUGGACUCGCGGCUUAUCAGCUUGUUGGUGGGGUAGUGGCUGACCAAGGCUUUGACGGAUAGCCGGCCUGAGAGGGUGACCGGCCACAUUGGGACUGAGAUACGGCCCAGACUCCUACGGGAGGCAGCAGUGGGGAAUAUUGCACAAUGGGCGGAAGCCUGAUGCAGCAACGCCGCGUGCGGGAUGACGGCCUUCGGGUUGUAAACCGCUUUCGCCUGUGACGAAGCGUGAGUGACGGUAAUGGGUAAAGAAGCACCGGCUAACUACGUG
rnacentral:rRNA from 1 species